rnacentral:lncRNA from 1 species
AACUAGGUGACAACUCGGGUUCAAGAGAGGGAACACUGAUAGGUGUUCUAGGGAGGCUAGGACCAAGGAUCAGAAACUCGGACUCAGACUCAGACUCUGACUCUAAGUCACUUAUGUUCUCCCCCUGAGACUGAGAACGAGUGAAAUAUGACACAUUUUCAUGAAAGGUGACAUCUUUGGAGACAAAGAAUUUUCGACUCGGAGGAUGAUAACAUUUGUACCCUCUUUUGUUGGGUGCAUAACCCAGAAAGAUACAUCUG